rnacentral:rRNA from 1 species
AACGAACGCUGGCGGCGUGGAUAAGACAUGCAAGUCGAACGGGACUUUAUUUGUAGUAAUACAGAUAAAGUCUAGUGGCGAACGGGUGCGUAACACGUGAGUAAUCUGCCGGGAAGUGGGGGAUAGCUCGUCGAAAGGCGAAUUAAUACCGCAUGUGGCCAGGAAGGACAUCCUUCCGACGCCAAAGCCGCAAGGCGCUUCCUGAUGAACUCGCGGCCUAUCAGCUAGUUGGUGAGGUAACGGCUCACCAAGGCUAUGACGGGUAGCUGGUCUGAGAGGACGACCAGCCACACUGGAACUGAGACACGGUCCAGACACCUACGGGUGGCAGCAGUCGAGAAUUUUUCACAAUGGGGGAAACCCUGAUGGAGCGACGCCGCGUGGAGGAUGAAGGCGUUUUCGUCGUAAACUCCUGUCAAACGGGAACAAGAAAGUGAUAGUACCGUUAGAGGAAGAGACGGCUAACUCUGUGCCAGCCGCCGCCGUAAAAC